rnacentral:tRNA from 1 species
GCCCAUGUAGCUCAGCUGGUAGAGCACAUCCAUGGUAAGGAUGGGGUCGUCAGUUCAAUUCUGACCGUGGGCUCCA